ACGAACGCUGGCGGCGUGCCUAAUACAUGCAAGUAGCACGCUGAAGGAGGAGCUUGCUUCUCUGGAUGAGUUGCGAACGGGUGAGUAACGCGUAGGUAACCUGCCUGGUAGCGGGGGAUAACUAUUGGAAACGAUAGCUAAUACCGCAUAAGAGUAGAUGUUGCAUGACAUUUGCUUAAAAGGUGCAAUUGCAUCACUACCAGAUGGACCUGCGUUGUAUUAGCUAGUUGGUGGGGUAACGGCUUACCAAGGCGACGAUACAUAGCCGACCUGAGAGGGUGAUCGGCCACACUGGGACUGAGACACGGCCCAGACUCCUACGGGAGGCAGCAGUAGGGAAUCUUCGGCAAUAGACGGAAGUCUGACCGAGCAACGCCGCGUGAGUGAAGAAGGUUUUCGGAUCGUAAAGCUCUGUUGUAAGAGAAGAACGAGUGUGAGAGUGGAAAGUUCACACUGUGACGGUAUCUUACCAGAAAGGGACGGCUAACUACGUG
rnacentral:rRNA from 1 species